GUGGAUUAGAUACCCUGGUAGUCCACGCCGUAAACGAUGAUGACUAGCUGUCGGGGCGCUUGGCGUUUCGGUGGCGCAGCUAACGCGUUAAGUCAUCCGCCUGGGGAGUACGGCCGCAAGGUUAAAACUCAAAGAAAUUGACGGGGGCCUGCACAAGCGGUGGAGCAUGUGGUUUAAUUCGAAGCAACGCGCAGAACCUUACCAGCGUUUGACAUGGUAGGACGGUUUCCAGAGAUGGAUUCCUUCCCUUACGGGACCUACACACAGGUGCUGCACGGCCGUCGACAGCU
rnacentral:rRNA from 1 species